rnacentral:rRNA from 1 species
GAUGAACGCUAGCUACAGGCUUAACGCAUGCAAGUCGAGGGGCAGCAUGGUCUUAGCUUGCUAAGGCCGAUGGCGACCGGCGCACGGGUGGGUAACACGUAUCCAACCUGCCGUCUACUCUUGGACAGCCUUCUGAAAGGAAGAUUAAUACAAGAUGGCAUCAUGAGUCCACGUGUUCACAUGAUUAAAGGUAUUCCGGUAGACGAUGGGGAUGCGUUCCAUUAGAUAGUAGGCGGGGUAACGGCCCACCUAGUCUUCGAUGGAUAGGGGUUCUGAGAGGAAGGUCCCCCACAUUGGAACUGAGACACGGUCCAAACUCCUACGGGAGGCAGCAGUGAGGAAUAUUGGUCAAUGGGCGAGAGCCUGAACCAGCCAAGUAGCGUGAAGGAUGACUGCCCUAUGGGUUGUAAACUUCUUUUAUAAAGGAAUAAAGUCGGGUAUGCAUACCCGUUUGCAUGUACUUUAUGAAUAAGGAUCGGCUAACUCCGUGCCAGCAGCCGCAGUAA